GCGGCCGCUCAGUUGGUAGAGCAUGGCGCUUGGAACGUCACGGUGGCGGCUUCAAUUCCUACGGGCGCC